GACCUGUGUAAAGAUAAGCCUUGCUCAGACACCUGCCUAGAAACAUCUGAUAAUACAAGUUUUGUCUGCAGCUGCCCAUCUGGCAAAAAACUGGCAUCUGAUGGGAUCACCUGCACAAAUUGCAUUGAAGGAACUUAUGGAGACCGCUGUAGUUCAAAUUGUUCUUGUACGGCAGCAAACACUGAUUCUUGCAACAAGGAAACUGGUGCAUGCAGUUGUAAGGCUGGAUGGACAGGUACAAAUUGUGAGACUGAUAUUGAUGAGUGCUCCCCAUCUACCUCAUCUCCAUGUAAAAGUAUAUCUAACUCUCAAUGCGUAAACACCAAUGGAAACUACACUUGCAAAUGUAAUACAGGAU
rnacentral:sRNA from 1 species